UGAUGGCAUUUCCAGCAUUUACCCCAGAUGGGCUGUGCAGCAUCAAUCAAAAGCUAUUCAGCGGAGAUGUGGCAGAUGACCUCCACCUCCUCAAGGAUUCUAAAGACGGUAAAACCCGCAAGAAGAGCGAGUUGGGAGACGAUGAAGUAAGCUGUGCUUAUCAGUUCCGCGACUUCAUUCGAUUGGUUUUGGGGGAAUGCUCACGAAAGAGGUCAUUCACAAGGCAUUGGAACAAAGAUGUUCUGGUCAUUCACAAGGCAUUCUGAGUAUGAUCUUAUAUUUGUCUGCUUAGGUAUGGAGAAUCAAGAAAAAAGAAACACAAGAAGGCCACGGAUAAGGAUGACAUGGACUUUCCCGGACAUGAGAAGGUCAAAUUUGGAGACAUUGUUGAAGCUCCCACCCAAAUUGGCCGUCAUCCCUAAGGCAUUGAAGAGCCCACAAAAUGCAUCCUGACAGCGGCUUCGUUUACAGGCCAUUAAGGCGUACAGAAAUUGCAGAGGAUGGGCAUCCCAGCCCGGCAGCCAACUGCCUUCAACACUAGGCUCUACAUUAUCAUUGUGGCCUUCUUUCAGGACCAUAUUUUGGCCAUAUGUUUUGGGUGAUUUAUGAUGGUAUUCUGUAUUUUUCCUAUAUGAUUUACUAUAGCAUUAGUUUUGAGAUAUCUAGUUGUUGUCAUAGGAUGUUUCAUUCCUUUUAUCAUAGGAGGAACCAUUCUUCUUUCCCUUAUUUUGUAGACAUAUAACCAAGUGCUUUAGUUAUACAUAACAGGAAAACUUGUUCUCAGUAUAUAGAAUUAAGAAUAGGUCCGGCUCAGCCGAAGUCAA